UCUGGCAUUGUAAUCAACUUGUAUGAAUGGAAGAGCUGUGUUGGGGAAGAAAAAUGGGGUCCAAGGUUGUCUCUACACUCCUCAUUUUCUUUGUUGUCAUGGCAAUCGUAUCGUCUGCUCACUCCUGGGGAGAUGUGAAAGUGACAAGGAAGAUUGCUCAGAAGAAAGAUCAGUAUUGUGAACAUCAAUGCCCUUCGGACAAUGAAUGUAAUGUGUUUUGUGUUCAAGGUGGACACUCGGGGGGCAAAUGUACUAAAAGGAAAGGUUGUUGUUGCUACUGAAUCAGUCAAUUUAUAGGAAUAAGACGUGGGGAAGUUCUUCUC